GAUUUUGCUAGAAUCAACUAAACACGCUGUCAAAUGAUUAAAGAACUCUGGUAGAGAUCAAAAUCUAUUUUUUAAAUCAUUAUUAAAAGUGCCAGGUAUUUUACUGUUCAUUUUAAGUGCAAUGACGCAACUAUACAGUGAUAAAAUAUUUUGAGUCAGUAUUAUAUUAUUUAGGACACUCAGCAACCUAAAAUCAGAAGUGUUUUAAGGUAAAAUAGAUUGAUAAAGUUGACACGAAGCAGAUAAGGUUUAUAGAAGGUCACCGAAAAUUGAAAGGAAAUUUAAAUAAAACGGAAAGAUAUUCAGAUAAAAAAAGACAGGUUCCUAAAAUAUUGGACAUUAAAUUUAUCAGAAUCCAAGUUGCCAAGCGAAGAUUUAAAAAAAAAAUAAUAAAAGCUCACUGACAGAGUCCCCAAAUGAAAAAAUCCAACGAGUUCAGGUCCGGAGAUCGCUGUAGCCAGGCAAUGAAACAACCACGAUCAUUUUCAUUCAAAGAACGACUGAAAAUAUUUUUUAUUGCAAUAUUUUUAUAUUGUAAGAUUACCCCAUUUAUAAAUCAAACCAAUGAAACAAACAAUAAAAGAAACAGAAAAUGCAUGCCAAU